AGGGCGCUGGCAGCUGAUAAAGAAUAAAGAGACGUGGGGUUAGGUCUGGGCAAGACAGAACAGAACUUCAUUGAGAAGUAACGGGAGUGCAGAGAGGGACACAAAAGGCCAAACGGAGCAGAAACCAAAGAAAAUAAAACUAUUGCAAUUGAAAGCUCCUCAUGCAUAUUAAGCAGAAAAGGGCUUUGAAGACGAAAUAGGUGAGAACGUGCUUGUGGCAAAUGACUUUUUAAGGGUUUUUUUGGCUCGAAGCAUAUGCAAGAAUUGUGCAAUGAAAA